rnacentral:piRNA from 1 species
UGAACCAUGAAUUUAUUGAGAGGUUUUCUCAG